rnacentral:rRNA from 1 species
UACGUAGGGGGCUAGCGUUGUCCGGAAUCAUUGGGCGUAAAGCGCGUGUAGGUGGCCAAGUAGGUCCGCUGUGAAAACUUGAGGCUCAACCUCAAGCUGUCGGUGGAAACCCCUUGGCUAGAGUCCGGAAGAGGAGAGUGGAAUUCCUGGUGUAGCGGUGAAAUGCGCAGAUAUCAGGAAGAACACCAAUGGCGAAGGCAGCUCUCUGGGACGGUACUGACGCUGAGACGCGAAAGCGUGGGGAGCGAACAGG